rnacentral:rRNA from 1 species
UACGAGGGGGGCGAGCGUUGUUCGGAAUUAUUGGGCGUAAAGGGUGCGUAGGCGGUUUGGUAAGUCUUGUGUGAAAUCUCAGGGCUCAACUCUGACAUUGCAUUCGAUACGGGCAGGCUCGAGUUCGGUAGGGGAGACUGGAAUUCCUGGUGUAGCGGUGAAAUGCGCAGAUAUCAGGAGGAACACCGGUGGCGAAGGCGGCGAUCUGGGUCGAUACUGACGCUGAGGUGCGAAAGCGUGGGGAGCAAACAGG